GGUGUCAAAGAUUAAGCCAGGCAUGUGAGAGUAUAGAUAGACAACUUUGAAAUGGGAAUGGCUCAUUAAAUCAGUUAUAGUUUAUUUGGUGAAGGAUACUAAUAGGAUAACCGUAGUAAUACUAGGGCUAAUACAUGAGUAAAGUCCCAUUGGGAUGUGUUUAUUAGAAUGAAAACCAUAUGCUUCGGCAUGAUAGUGAGUAAUAGUAACCUAUCGUAUCGCAUGCUUAAAGUAGCGAUGAGUCUUUCAAGUUUCUGCCCUAUCAGCUUUCGAUGGUAGCAUAUGGGUCUACCAUG
rnacentral:rRNA from 1 species